AGCCAGGGGUCAGGACCCCGGCGCGCCGCAAGGGCUGCUCUGGCGGCGCCUCCGCCCACCGCGCCCGCAACUCUGCAAACAAACCCUUGGCGCCUUUCCUCCUCCCCUUGCAGAAAGGGUGGAAGUUUCCAGGCUGUCGGGCCUUAGAGCCGCACUGCUCCCACCCUGCAAGGCAGUGGGGUGCUGCUGCGGGCACCUAGGCCAGGGCACUCCCCCCCAUAGGGGUCUGUCUUGCUGCCUGAGGUGCCAGCUCUGAGCAGGGUCCAAGCUAGCAGAGGCUCUAGCAUCAUCGAUUUAAACACAGGUUGUUAAGACCCAGCUAUUCUUCAUCUCAUUGCUGAUAGAUUUCCACCUGGAGUCAGCAUCCAGAAUCAGAAGAACAGGAAUUUCUUUAAUAUCAACCAGUUAUGUUCCAAAUCCAAGAUGAUCUUCAGUAUGCUGACAGUUGUGUCACGUGUGCCCACUCAAGAGCUCUAGUUUACCUUUGAUUGCUUCUGUGAAGCAUAUGGAAUGCUUGGACUCACUGUCAGCUUCAUGAAAACCAAGAUACUUGACCAACACACUCCAAGCCAACAAUAAGGCAUUGAUUAUGUCUAGCAAACUUAUCUCACUAUGGUGGCAGAUAGAGGAGACAAAGGAAAAUAGCUUUGACUCAGCAUCACCAGGAUCUACUCCUUGCUUCCAGAACUAUUUGCUACAUCUGCAGGUGAACAUGCAUAUUGGAUCAGCCUCCUCAGUUAUGUACAGACUCACCAAUAACUCCCCUCUACUAUAUGAGGACAACAGUCUCUCAGAGGGACUGCUGAUGACCAAAAUCAGUAUUUCAACUAAACUUAGUAUUUUUUUUCUAACUGAGAAAAAUAUGUUUAUUCAUAUUCUCAGUUCUUACCUAUAUUACAAAAUGAUAGGUGAUGCUUUUAUUUUUUUACUAUAACUGUAUUAAAUGUUAUUUCUACUUGUUACUUAUGUCAAGCUCUAGUUCAAUGGAAAGGAACUCAAGUGCAAGAGAAUUUUUAAUUUUUUUUAUUAGGUAGAAUUAAUUUAAAUGUUCUGAAUACAUAUUAAAAUAUGUUUGUAUUUGCAUUUAAAGCAUUUAAUAAUCAAAAGAAGUAUUAUUGAUACUGUGGUAAUUGAAAUGAUUGUUCCUGAUUGCUGUGUCCUUCAAGAUUAAGAGCUGUUAGAGCUCAUCUUCUAACAACCAGCUUCUACUCGGAGACUAGAAGAAAACAUGCUAUCCUCCUUUUUCAAUUCUCAGUCAGUUUUGUUGGCUCUGAAUUAGCUAGUCAUUGAAUUGAACUAAGUAAACUAAAAUAAAAUAGUCUCUGCACCUGUAAAAUAGACUACUGCUACUUCUUGUUUAGUACUUCAUUUUAGCUGAUUAAUCUGUGAUUUCUGACAGUAUUAUGACUUCCUUUGAGCAAGCAUGUACUAUUUAUUUGUUGUUUAAUUUAAAUUAUUUUAAUUACUUUUGAUAUGUUUAGGGCCUAGCAUAGGUUGCUAUAAUUUCAGGUAUUAUAGGUUACUAUAAUUUUAAAUGGAUUUACUUAUUUAAAAGAGAAAAUAUUUUAAUAAAUCUGAUUUGGAGCUUUUUAUUAAAAAUUGAUUAUCAGUUACUCUGGAAAUGGUAUGGAAUCAUAAGUCAAAUUGCACUUGUAGUGUGAUUUUGAUGCAGUUGAUGGGAGUACAAAGCUUUUCUAAAGAUAAACUGUAGUUGCCUUUGGGGUGUGCAAAGAGACUGAUACUUGAAAGUAGAGAAGUGUUUAUAUCCUGUUUCUAACUAUUGUUACAGAGAGCAAAAAAUUACUGUAGACAGACAUGUUAAUUAUUAAAUGAAUGAGGAAAAAAUAA